GUUAAGCGACUAAGCGUACACGGUGGAUGCCCUGGCAGUCAGAGGCGAUGAAGGACGUGCUAAUCUGCGAUAAGCGCCGGUAAGGUGAUAUGAACCGUUAUAACCGGCGAUUUCCGAAUGGGGAAACCCAGUGUGACUCGUCACACUAUCAUUAACUGAAUCCAUAGGUUAAUGAGGCGAACCGGGGGAACUGAAACAUCUAAGUACCCCGAGGAAAAGAAAUCAACCGAGAUUCCCCCAGUAGCGGCGAGCGAACGGGGAGGAGCCCAGAGCCUGAAUCAGCAUGUGUGUUAGUGGAAGCGUCUGGAAAGGCGCGCGAUACAGGGUGACAGCCCCGUACACAAAAGCGCAUAUGCUGUGAGCUCGAUGAGUAGGGCGGGACACGUGGUAUCCUGUCUGAAUAUGGGGGGACCAUCCUCCAAGGCUAAAUACUCCUGACUGACCGAUAGUGAACCAGUACCGUGAGGGAAAGGCGAAAAGAACCCCGGCGAGGGGAGUGAAAAAGAACCUGAAACCGUGUACGUACAAGCAGUGGGAGCCCCACCACUAAGCCAGUGGUGAACUCCACAUACGCAUCCUUUGCUGAGGAUACGGUUAACGGAGCGAAAGCGACGUUCAACCUCAAAAGAAGCAGAGGGGGCUUAGUGGUGGGGUGACUGCGUACCUUUUGUAUAAUGGGUCAGCGACUUAUAUUCUGUAGCAAGGUUAACCGUAUAGGGGAGCCGGAGGGAAACCGAGUCUUAACCGGGCGUUAAGUUG
rnacentral:rRNA from 1 species